AUUGAACGCUGGCGGCAGGCUUAACACAUGCAAGUCGAGCGGGGGGAGGUAGCUUGCUACCGGACCUAGCGGCGGACGGGUGAGUAAUGCUUAGGAAUCUGCCUAUUAGAGGGGGACAACAUCUCGAAAGGGAUGCUAAUACCGCAUACGUCCUACGGGAGAAAGCAGGGGAUCUUCGGACCUUGCGCUAAGAGAUGAGCCUAAGUCGGAUUAGCUAGUUGGUGGGGUAAAGGCCUACCAAGGCGACGAUCGGUAGCGGGUCUGAGAGGAUGAUCCGCCAAACUGGGACUGAGACACGACCCAGACUCCUACGGAAGGCAGCAGUGGGGAAUAUUGGACAAUGGGGGGAACCCUGAUCCAGCCAUGCCGCGUGUGUGAAGAAGGCCUUAUGGUUGUAAAGCACUUUAAGCGAGGAGGAGGCUACUUUAGUUAAUACCUAGAGAUAGUGGACGUUACUCGCAGAAUAAGCACCGGCUAACUCUGUGCCAGCAGCCGCCGUAA
rnacentral:rRNA from 1 species